rnacentral:rRNA from 1 species
ACGGAAGGCAGCAGUGGGGAAUAUUGCACAAUGGGGGAAACCCUGAUGCAGCGACGCCGCGUGAGUGAAGAAGUAUUUCGGUAUGUAAAGCUCUAUCAGCAGGGAAGAAAAUGACGGUACCUGACUAAGAAGCCCCGGCUAACUACGUGCCAGCAGCCGCGGUAAUACGUAGGGGGCAAGCGUUAUCCGGAUUUACUGGGUGUAAAGGGAGCGUAGACGGCGGUGCAAGUCUGAAGUGAAAUCCCGGGGCUCAACCCCGGUGCUGCUUUGGAAACUGUACUGCUAGAGUGCUGGAGAGGUAAGUGGAAUUCCUAGUGUAGCGGUGAAAUGCGUAGAUAUUAGGAGGAACACCAGUGGCGAAGGCGGCUUACUGGACAGUAACUGACGUUGAGGCUCGAAAGCGUGGGGAGCAAACAGGAUUAGAUACCCUGGUA